AAGACACUAGUAGAACCUGUUAUUACACUGCCUUGUCAGGGCAAAAUUGUGGGUUAAACCCCCGCGUGCCUUA
rnacentral:tRNA from 1 species